rnacentral:lncRNA from 1 species
UGUGAAGCGAUCUCAUACUAAACGAAACGACUUUCACUUUCCAUAAAAAAAAUCAAAGAAAGUCAACCUAUUCCUUUUAGUCCGAUUCGAUUCGCUUGCCUCGAAGACUGGAAUUAGGCCCCUACUGAUGAUAGGAUUGAUUCGAAGCAAAGUCAAUGGUCCCUUCUCCGCUACGGGAGAUGCUAGAAGAAGAUAAGCACUCCGCUAUAUCUUUGAUAAAUAGGGUAAAGGAGUAACCUUA